rnacentral:rRNA from 1 species
UACGUAGGCAGCGAGCGUUGUUCGGAGUUACUGGGCGUAAAGGGUGUGUAGGCGGUUGUUUAAGUUUGGUGUCAAAGACCGGGGCUUAACUUCGGAAAGGCAGUGGAAACUGAACAGCUAGAGUAUGGUAGGGGCAGAGGGAAUUCCUGGUGUAGCGGUGGAAUGCGUAGAUAUUGGGAGGAACACCAGUGGCGAAGGCGGCUCACUGGCCCGAUACUGACGCUGAGGUGCGAAAGCGUGGGGAGCAAACAGG